UCACCUAGUGUACAACAUGGAUGCAUCCCUAAAUGGUGUAAACCAUCUACCAAGUUUAAAUGAUUCAUCUGGGACAAGGGAGCCCAACAGGAAGCAUGGAAUAUGGAGCUAAAUGAUGGAGAAUGAACUCGACUCACUCAAGAAAAGGCCAAGAGAUAUGUCACCAGAACCAGUGACAUACAGAAAUGACUUUGACAAGGGGAGACCACCAGGACGUCCCCCUCCCAGAUGGAGGGACCAAGUCAGACGAGAUGUGGGUCUCCCUCUACUGGAUGCUGUAGACCUAGCCCAGGGUAGAACUGAGUGGAAAAGGAUCACCCAUAGGAGAGGGAGGAGACACACUGUCCUAUGCACAUAAGUCGCAUUGUAACAAGGCCGGAGAAUGCUCGAGGAGGAAUGAACAGAGGCUAAGGAGACAAAAAAUGCUGCGAAAGCACUGGUUAAAUCCAUGUCUUCACUAUCUACCAAGUUUAAAUGAGAGUGACAGUCUACCAGAGACGAGGACAUGGCACUAUUCUUAAAUCUUCAUCUACACACAGUGUCUGAUGUUAACCCUCUACCAAGUUUAAAUGAGAGUGACAGCCUACCAGAGAUGAGGACAUGACACCAUUCUAGAAUCUUCAUCUACACAGAAUGUCUUGUGUAUUGGUAGUUUUGUGAAGUAUGAUAAAAAAGAGACAUUUGGCACAUUUGGUUAAUAAUCUUCCCAGUACCAUUAUCACAACUUUCUAAAUAAUUUAUUAUAAUCUCAAAGAUUGCAAUUGUAAUUGAAUUCUCAGAGUAAUUGAUUUUAAAUCCUGGUUAAAGUUAAUACUUGCUCUAAAUACCUUAUUGUUUUUUGCUAUCUGUGGUACAAAUGUUUGCAAUAAUUCGCUAUUUCUAAUCAAUAUCAUUGUGGCAUGCCCAAGCACAAAUCAGGAUAGUUGUUUUACAUUUGCAAACCAUCACCAGGGCUCAUUUUCUAGGGUGUUUUUUUUUUUCAAUUUAAUUUGGGAUAAUUUAUCAUGUAAAUCACACUGAAUGAACUGAAUGUCUCUUCAAACUUCAUGCCAAUUUAUUAAAAUCUGUUUUAGUAUCAAAUGCAUGUAUGUGACUGGCAUAUCUAUGCAUUAACUCAUGAACCUAUUUAGUUAUCUUUAUUUUAUGAUAACAUUCUUAUAGCUUCAAUGGGCAGGUCCAAGCGAUUUUUUAAUGUACUUAUUGAUUUUAUCAAAUGCCUGCUUUGUUUCUUGCAAAGAAUGGUUUCUUGGAGUAAAUAUUUUACUGAACCCUAUAUAACUGGGGGAUGCUUAUUUCACACCCUACCCCCAACAUUGUUCUUGGUAAGUUUUUUUUCCAGGUGAAUGCGUAUCCUAAGACUAAAUUUGCAUCUCCAUUUCAUCAGAGCAUGUCAGACGCUAACUUGCUA